UAGGGAAUCUUCGGCAAUGGACGAAAGUCUGACCGAGCAACGCCGCGCGAGUGAAGAAGGUUUUCGGAUCGUAAAACUCUGUUGUUAGAGAAGAACAAGGACGUUUGUAACUGAACGUCCCCUGACGGUAUCUAACCAGAAAGCCACGGCUAACUACGUGCCAGCAGCCGCGGUAAUACGUAGGUGGCAAGCGUUGUCCGGAUUUAUUGGGCGUAAAGCGAGCGCAGGCGGUUUCUUAAGUCUGAUGUGAAAGCCCCCGGCUCAACCGGGGAGGGUCAUUGGAAACUGGGAGACGUGAGUGCAGAAGAGGAGAGUGGAAUUCCAUGUGUAGCGGUGAAAUGCGUAGAUAUAUGGAGGAACACCAGUGGCGAAGGCGGCUCUCUGGUCUGUAACUGACGCUGAGGCUCGAAAGCGUGGGGAGCAAACAGG
rnacentral:rRNA from 1 species